GGUUGGAUCAUUAACAAGGUUUAGAGCAAUCCUGCUCUAAAAUUAGACCUUAUGUGCACUGUAACUGUUCUUGGUGGGCCUGACUUGCUUUAGGUUUGGAAGUUUUGUAUUUAGGUAAAGAUGAAGUGGGAUUGUUAAGAGUGCUGUUGGGUAGGUUGGCAACAACUGGCCCUUCCCUCUUAUAGAGGUCUUGCUUUGUUUGAACUGGAGUGCUUAGCUUUAGAACUUGAGGUAAUAUACCUGCCAACAGGCCUCUUCACUCAGCUUGUUUGGGUGUUGUGGUGUCCUGAAACUAUAACAAACUUUAUCUGUGAUUUUUAGACUUUGGUUGCCACUGUUAGGAAUAUAAACAACUUUUAACAACGGAUCUCUUGGCUCUCGCAACGAUGAAGAACGCAGCGAAAUGCGAUAAGUAAUGUGAAUUGCAGAACUUUGUGAAUCAUCGAAUCUUUGAACGCACCUUGCACUCUUGGGAAACUGAGAGUAUGCCUGUUUGAGUAUCGUUAAAACCCCCUCAUCUGAAGGAGGUUGGGACUGAGUUUGUUAAAGAACUUGGGCCUGAUCUUUGAACGAUGGAUUUGAGGUUCUGUUGCUUUAGUGCUUCAGUGCCUUUAAAACGAAAUUUCAAACCGGAAGUAAGUUGGAAAGAUCUUGAGGAGAAAUCUUUGAGGUUGGACUGGCCCUUCCUUCCAAGUGUUAGCCUUUCAUAGGUUAGUACUUGGUGGUCACGGAUCACAGUUUCUCAACUGUUCGACCAGUUAUUCUUUAACAAUGAACUUGAUUGCCUUGUGCAAACUUCCAUUCAUUACCUAAGUUUGACUUUGAAUCGGACGCUCUACAUGGCUGGGAAACGGUUCACACCUUCGUGAAGUGAUUCUUUAUCAAACACUGGUCUCAAAUCAGGCAAGACUACCCGCUGAACUUAAGCAUAUCAAUAAGCGGAGGAAAAGAAACUAACAAGGAUUCCCCUAGUAACGGCGAGUGAAGCGGGAAAAGCUCAAAUUUGAAAUCUCCUUCUUACGAAGGCGAAUUGUAGUUUAGAGAAGUGUUUUCUGGGGCAGCUUAGGUAUAAGUUCUUUGGAACAAGACAUCAUAGAGGGUGAGAAUCCCGUCUGUGACCUAAAGCCUGCUCCUUUGUGAUACACUUUCGAAGAGUCGGUUUGUUUGGGAAUGCAGACCAAAAUGGGUGGUAAAUACCAUCUAAAGCUAAAUACUGGCGAGAGACCGAUAGCGAACAAGUACCGUGAGGGAAAGAUGAAAAGAACUUUGAAAAGAGAGUUAAACAGUACGUGAAAUUGUUAAAAGGGAAGCGCUUGAAAUCAGUGUUGCUCUUUGGUAAUCAACGGUUCUUUACUGAACUGUGCACUUGCCAAAACGCAGGUCAACGUCAGUUUAGGUUUGUGUAAAAAACCUCCAGUUGCAGUCUUUAUUGAUUAGCUGGUUGAAAUGCACAGACUUGGACUGAGGACUGCUUCUAGCAAUAGAACAGGACGUUGACAAAAUGGUUUUAAACGACCCGUCUUGAAACACGGACCAAGGAGUCUAACAAAUAUGCGAGUAUUUGGGUGGUAAACCCUUAUGCGUAAUGAAAGUGAAACUGGUGGGAACUUUUUGUGCACCAUCGACCGGUCUGGAUUUUUUUGAUAGAUCUGAGUAAGAGCAUAUGUGUUAGGACCCGAAAGAUGGUGAACUAUGCCUGAAUAGGGUGAAGCCAGAGGAAACUCUGGUGGAGGCUCGUAGCGAUUCUGACGUGCAAAUCGAUCGUCAAAUUUGGGUAUAGGGGCGAAAGACUAAUCGAACCAUCUAGUAGCUGGUUCCCUC
rnacentral:misc_RNA from 1 species